GCCUACGGGAGGCAGCAGUGAGGAAUAUUGGACAAUGGGCGCAAGCCUGAUCCAGCGACGCCGCGUGAGUGAUGAAGGCCUUUGGGUCGUAAAGCUCUGUCAGCAGGGAAGAACGGCCGUGUGGUUAAUACCCAUGCGGAUUGACGGUAUCUGCAGAGGAAGCACCGGCUAACUCCGUGCCAGCAGCCGCGGUC
rnacentral:rRNA from 1 species